UUGCUUUAGCGGUUCUUGAGGGCAACACACAGCCAGGAGUUUGGUUUCAGAAGAGCCAGAGGGAAUACCAAUCGAAGCAAGGAAGCUGCUUCUUGAGCGUGCAUCUCAAGGGACAAGUAACUUCGUGAUGAACAAGCCUUCCUGGAUGGUAGAAAUUGAUCCAAAGGAAGUCAUCCUAGGAAUUUAUGUGUGAGAAGAUAUAAAUGUGCUUAAAUUUCCUGGAUGCUGGACAAUGGCCAACUAAAUAUUGGAGUAAUUUACCAUCUGCGAGAAGUUGAAUG